CAUGGUCUAAGAUUUGGGAGGUCCCCGAACUGUCGUCUGCUAGGCCUGUUUUUGGCUGUUCGUCUGCUAUUUCUGCGGACAAAUUUUGGGGCACUCGCUAGGGGCGCUGACUGUCCGGAUCAGUCAUAACAUUUCCCUCCGAAACGUUGUUAACAACGAGAAAAGUAGUUGCUUGUCACAGUCUUCUUCUGGACUAAGCCACUCAAAGGUUACAGAAGAUGCCUAAUCGUUGUUUUGUGCCUAAUUGCAACUCGGGAUUCCCUGGGUCCACUACGACUGAAAAGGUGGCUUUUUUUUCAGCUCUAAGGGAUUCUAGCCUGCUUCAACGUUGGAAGCUGCGAGGGAAAAAAAUGUAGAAAAAAAAGAAGAUUGCGACCUUCUCUAUGUCUUAUGGCAACAUAUUUUUGUUGUUGUUGGUGAAACAAAAGACUUUUUAAGUCAGUAGACACAGCCCGGAGAUUUUAACUUUCUCCAACACUUUCUCCAAGACACCGCUGUCGGCGGAGAAUGUUUACUCUACGUGUUGUAGAAUACAGCAAAUAUUACCAUUCAUGCCUCAAGUCAACACCACGAAAGAAGCCAUUCAAUUAAUAAAUUGAUUCUUUGGAUGAUGCUUCAAAAGUGGUGAAUGGGGCCUGGGUGUAAUUGUAAACGUUUCAGUCCUUUUAUUAAUCAGUGGAACACGUUCCGUUGAUGAUUUCUUUUCUCUGGGGCAAUAAGAUAUAAUCUGUUUAACUUUUCCCUUCUAUGCGAACGAAAGAAAAAGAGAAAUGUUUCAGCAAGACGUGAAUGUUCCACGCUGCAUUACAGAGAUACAGUUACGAACAUCUGGUCAUCUUUGACGAUUUAUGAGUCGUUUCAUCCUGUUAUUACCUUGACCAAUGGAACUUUGAAUUAUUGCACCCCGCGCUUACAGAGAAAGAGUCACAUCUUAAAAGUCAUAUCUAACCUGUAGUAGAUAUGACUGUCGCGUUGGGGAUGUCCACUGCUUCGCAGAUGUAAGACCCACAAUCUUGGGGUUUAAGUUGGCGAAUAGUGAGGUUCGCCGAGUGCGAAGCAACUGACGCAAUAUAACGAGCAUCCUUCAAAGUUUAGAUAAAAUAGUUGUAAGUUAAUCUAAAACAAUUGGAAAAUCUCAUAUUUCAUAUACCAUUUAAAAAAGGGAAAAACAUUGGCCACCCCUAACCUUAAGCUGCGCAAACUGUCUAAAAUGGUAAAUUAAUUUGUAUUAAUGUAUAUUAAUGUUUGAAAUACAAAGAGGAAUUGAUUCAA